rnacentral:rRNA from 1 species
GAUGAACGCUAGCUACAGGCUUAACACAUGCAGGUCGAGGGACCGGCGCACGGGUGAGUAACACGUACCCAACCUGCCCUUUACUCGGGGAUAGCCUUUCGAAAGAAAGAUUAAUACCCGAUAUAAAGGAUGGGGAUGCGUUCCAUUAUGUUGUUGGUAAGGUAACGGCCCACCAAGCCUUCGAUGGAUAGGGGUUCUGAGAGGAAGGUCCCCCACAGUGGAACGGAGACACGAUCCAAACUCCUACGGUAGGCAGGAGUGAGGAAUAUUGGUCAAUGGGCGUUAGCCUGAACCAGCCAAGUAGCGUGAAGAAUGAAGGCUUAUGGGUCGUAAACUUCUUUUAUAUAAGAAUAUGUAUUAUAUGAAUAAGGAUCGGCUAACUACGUGCCAGCAGCCGCGGUAAUAC